rnacentral:rRNA from 1 species
UACGUAGGGGGCUAGCGUUGUCCGGAAUUAUUGGGCGUAAAGAGCUCGUAGGCGGUCUGUCGCGUCUGCUGUGAAAACUCGAGGCUUAACCUCGAGCUGUCGGCGGAAACCAUCUGGCUAGAGUCCGGAAGAGGAGAAUGGAAUUCCCGGUGUAGCGGUGAAAUGCGCAGAUAUCGGGAAGAACACCCGUGGCGAAGGCGGUUCUCUGGGACGGUACUGACGCUGAGACGCGAAAGCGUGGGGAGCGAACAGG